UCCCCGAUAGUAUAAUGGUUAGUAUGCCGCGUUGUCAUCGCGGUGGCCCGGGUUCGAUUCCCGGUCGGGGAG